rnacentral:lncRNA from 1 species
UACAUAAGAAAAUAAUAACGGGAAAAGUUAACAAUAAAAAUUUACUGCUCCAUUCCAACCUACAUGUAUACAAAAUUUAUGAUACCAAAGCAGCUGAUUGGAUGCUCUAUAUGGUGAAUGCGUCGAUUGUUGUUUAACCAUUGAAGACCAUCAAAUUAGGAUGCCAAACUUAUGACCUCCAAAACAAUCACACUAAAGCUUAUAAUUAGAAUGUUCCCGUUGAAGAGCUUAAUUUGGCUUUCAGGAAAUUAGGGGGAUAAAAAGGGAUACAUAGAACACCUAAACAGUUCAUAUUCCAAACUAAGUCAUUGCACCGCAAAGGUAAAGAUACACAUUUACCAUCAAGGUUCAGAAUUUUUUUUUUUCUUUUCCAAACAGAUGUGCCUAGCCUAAAAGUUUUCACACUUGAAAUUAUUGUGAUUGAUAAUGAUUGAAUUCAAUGGGAACUCUAUUUCAAUUUAACCCUCAAAUUUCUAUAACAUGCAAGUUGGAAAAUGGUAGAUUUUGUAAACUGGAUAUUGCAAUAAAUCGAAAUGCUUCCAGGGAAUGUAGCUGAAACAUAUUGUGCAGAUGAAGUUCUUCAUAUCCAUCAAUUUUUACACCUAUAUAAGAGGUUCAUUGUCAAGCAUAAUUUCAAUAUUUGGAAGCAUGAUGUGAGACAAUGUUUUAGGCUUAGAAUUCAGGUGGCCAUUGCUUCUAAUAACAUAGGUGGCCAUUGCUUCUAAUAACAUGGGAAUUAACAGAAUAAAUGGAAGGAUUUAGCAGAUAUCUACAGGCUCCCUCUGAGAACUAUUGUUCCUUGGCUUCUGUUGCAGACAAUGGCAUUAAUCAUUCACCAUGUUUCAGGCUCUAGCCUCCAGGCUACUAUUUUCAAGUUUCUAUAUCAUACUCUGAGGGAUAGCGGAUUGGGUAAUACUUCCAUGUUUUGAUUCCUUAUAUCACCAUCAAUCCUACAUUUAAUUACUAUUGAAAAGAAUUUUAUAGACCUAAAUCAUCGACAAUAAAUUUAUUUUGCUUCAAAUCAUAUUUGAUCAAUUUAGACAUUGAACUAAUUACUAGUCUGUGUACUUUUGUUUAUUGCAAUCAAUAACUAAUCAACUAAUUAAUAAAGCAUUUGCCUUGUUUUUUGGGACGUAUGAAACUCUCUAAAUAAGAAGUCAUGAAUGGAACAAACUCAGAAUAUUUGGCAUCAGUUUACACUUAAAUUGGUGCAACCACUUCAAAAAUCAGUAGGUGUCUUUUUUUUUAUUGUCUUUUUUCUUUCCUCUUUUUUUGAAGGCACAACUUUAUUCUUGCAAUUUGUCAAGCACUUCACCACCAAAAAAAGGAAUGAAGACUGCCUCAUUUUUAUUCUUUUUUAAUGGCAGUAAGAGGUUAUUUUUGUUCAUUUAUCAACAACAGAUAAGUUAAAACUUGAUUUCAUAACAUUUUACAAGCUAGAACAAGGUUAAGAACAAAUUAAUGAAAAGGUAUUUAUGGACUGCAUAUCAAUCUAGUUUGGUUACAUUCUCACUCCCGUGAACAAAUAAAGAGUAUAUUGAGGAGAUAUAUUUUCUAAAUAAGCUUGUAAUAUUAUCUAUAUAGGUAACAAACAUAUGCAAACACAAUAAUUUAUUAUUUUACACUAUAAGAAUUGAGCACAAUUUAGGUAAAACCAUAUGUAAGAACAAUAAUUGUUAAUUUUACACCACAAGAAUUUAGUACACUAGAGCUUGUCCUAUGAUAUUGACUUAGUUUUUGUGUUUAGCAAUGAGCUUGAGCUCAAUUCAAUAAUUGUAAACACAUAUCAAACCAAACUUGAGCUAACUCAGAAAAUCUUGAGCUUGUACCAAUCAGAGUUCAAGAAAUCAAAACUUGUUUUGACUUGAAGCAUUCACAGCUUUACCCUAACCCUAAGUUCUAAUAGAUCAAACUCCAAUUCAAAUGACAAAUUACCAAGUUGCUUUGACCCUUACUAGUUGCUAUAAAAUGGAAAAUGUAAUUAACCAGGCAACUCAUUGAAAAGUAGAUGGCUUUCCAGGAAAAUUAAAUGCAGUUUUAAGACUUUCAUGCUGCAUAUAUAGACGGUGCAUUUGGGGUUGGCAUUAACUUCACCUAUGAGUUAAUGGAAUUGGAAAAAAAAUUGACUACAACAGUUAAUUAUCUGCAUCAAAGAAAUUGAUAGUUUUUCAAGUGGGCCAAAUGGUUCUUUAGGCAAAAAAGACAUUAAACUAGUAAUACUUUUUAUACCAGGAGAAAUCUCCUUUUAAUUCUUUAUACUCUAUUUUAUCUUUGUGACAGGCGCACAGGUUGACCUUUUUUUUUGUUUUUUCCACUCAUACAAACUAUUCUUCAAUUUAGUAAUGCUUUUGUACAAUGAAGUCCCAUUUAACAUUCUACAAUUAACCUUAAUAAAUUCAUUUUUCAUUAAAAUAUUUAAUAACCACAGCUAAGACUAAUAUAUGGUUUAUAUUUGGACAUAUAUAAAUAUGCAAUUUUGAAACUGGAUGCAACACUAUUAGCAGAAUUUUCAAAAGUAGCUGAGGAAAGAAGUGUAACACAUAAAUUGAAAUAUUUAUAAUGAAG